CACAAAGGAGCAAGUUACCGUGUCUAGUUCAGCUUCCAAACUGCAGUUUUUAAUCUGUGGCAAUAAUUCUGCAUACUGGUUUGAACCUGUUGUCAUGUCACUGUGCAUACCUGAAUAUGAUUGACAUCAUGAAAAAAGAAAAGGAUUUCUGCUUGUUCAGUCUUUUCACCAGUAUUUUCUACCACCAGAUUGAAGGUGGCAUGUCAGGAAUGACCCGUGAAUACAGAUCAGAGCACCUGCAUCUCUAUCUGCUUCAUUUGAGCCUGCAAUCUGAUACUCAGAUUUGUGCCCACAACUGAAAGGGUAAAGCAGGGUUAAGGUAACCCUGCUAGGACAUCAGCUGCUGAGACUGUGCCAGCUUCUUCAAUCCUGCCUGACUAUUCCAGUCCUGAGUUUCAUCUGAGCAGAACAGUUGCUGCAAAGACGAGCUAUACCACACUGAGUACCACUGAAAACAUUUUAUGCAAGUAGAGCUAGGGAAUUAACACCUCAACUGGAAGAAGUGUGUGGUGUUUAUCAGAAGAGUAACGAAUUUCCAAAGAGAAAAGGUGGUAGAUGUGCAACUGGGAUUCUCAUUUGGGAGAAGUUCAGAAAUACCAAUUCAUGUGUUAGCUUUAAUUUCCAGCCUGGUGUUCCCACCUCAACAUAACAUACACACUGUGUACUGACCCAUGGAUUUUUGAAUAACCAGGCUAAUGCCAGCUCAGGUGCAGUUGUAUUAAGGGUUCCAUUUGGUUUGAAAUGCAGCAAUCUCCAGCCCAGCAACACCAGCCAACAAGAGCAUGUUACCCUAAAGUUUCAUGGUCUGUAUUAGGUCCCUGUUAAAUACUGAAUCAAAUUCAUUAUUUUGGCCCUGCUAUUCAAAAUUCCCCAAGUUUUGCCCAGGUUAUCUGAAGAGUCUCUGUCCAUGACCAAUUGACUUCAAUAGUACUUAAGCACAUGCUUAACCUCUUUGUCAAACUUGGGUCUAAGACAGCACAGGGAUAUCAAUAAUCAUCAACUCUAGUUGUGUGAGUCAAUAGCCCUGAUUUAUCAAAGAGUAAAUGAUGGCAUGAAUUUUAUCUGAGACUGCUUGCGUUCCCUCUCCGAGCCUAACACUCCUAACCUAUCACUGGGUUUUAGCACCCCAUUGUGAAAUAGAGCAUUUAUCCACACUAGUAGUUCCAUUGAUUUCAAUGGGACUACUCAAAGGAAUAAGGGUUCCAAGAACUGGGCCCUAAAUAAAUAGCCCAUAGAUCUGUGGGGAUAUCAACACACUAAACCAGUGGCUCUAAGUUGGACACGGAUGCUUUUGAUAUUUCCUUGAAUGUAUAAAUAAGGCCAAAUUAAGCUUUGAGAACAGCAUCUGGCUCUAAAUGUGUGUUUCUCCCCAUAUACAACAUGCUGUACUUCAGUGUCAGCAUUCUUCUUCUAUAAGAACGGUUCAGAAGAAUUCAAUCUGAAAUAACAUUUAAGUUUUAGUUGGUUAAUACAAAUUGAAGUAUAUAAAAAUGUCCUGAGCAUGACCUCUACACCCCAAAUACAUCAUUGUACUGUAUUCCAACCAAUGAAGUCAAUCAGUUGUACCACCUUAGAACAUAGACUCUUGGUCAAAUUCUGUCCUAAAUUACAGCUACAACCCCCACCCCGAAGUUAGUGUUCCUGGGGCACAAUUUGCCCAAGGGACAUUAUGGUUUAACUAAAGAGUAAAUGAAUUGUAUGAAAAUGAUGCAAGACUGACAGUGGUAUAUUUAGGCAGGAUUUGAGCAAAACACCUAGCUACAAGAACACACACCAAAAGGAAAUUUCUUCAUCUUUUCUACAUAAAGAUUUUAUUCCCUACAAAGAAAGGGUUAGAGUUGCUAUUUUUAAUAAAGAGCAAUGCUGCCCUCAAACUGAUAUUGUGCAAAAUAAUGAAAAGAUGAGGCUAACAAUAAAUGGAUUUAACUAGUCAUGCUAACAUCUAAGAACACUAUAAAGCAACAGCUUCUAUUAGUUUAACUUAAUACUGCACAUACAAUCUCACUAUACCAUUACCAGUAUACUAUUAUUGUACCAGGGUAGUAGUAUGCAGCUACAGAACAUAGGGCCUAGUCUGUGGGCUAGGCCCCUUAAUCAAUGAGGACUUCUACUUCAAAAUAAAAAGAUAAAGGAAUCAUACAGUCAAGAGCGAUUUAAAGCAUAACUUUCUUCCUUGAGAGGGACAUCACUACAAAAAACAAUUUCCCCUGCCUUGUCCACAUGAAAAAGCAAACAUGAUGGUACUUGUAAAGAAACCAUACUCCAAAAUCCAGAGUUCGAUGUUGGAAAACAUAAAUGGUUUUAUUUAGAGCUGAAGGCAACAUAUAUAUGAACAGACACACAAAGAUAAAACAUAUUAAAACAGGCUGGCAGAUAAAUACAGAACAGUCUGAGUCCAAGAAUUGGGUAGCUGAGGGUGCAAUAGAAAGUGGAGGGAAAAAAAACUGCUAAAAGUUAUUUCCCCAUCAGAAAGUUGCUCUGUCACCAGCUUCCUCAGCCUCUCUCCAUUCUGCUGUCUUAACUUUAAUACUUCGAAAGAAUCAAGAUUCCUGUGUUCAAGUUAAAAUCUUUAGGAGUGCCCAUGGGGGUUGGGGAGAGAAAUACACUUUUCAGUUUGUAUUCCUGUUGAGCAAUUUAGAUCUGUGGCAUAUUGUAGAAGCCAGCAAGUAUUUGUUUUCCUUUAAAUCUGUACUAAACUGUUUGAUAACAAUAGCUGUCCAAUGUACAUCUUUUACUAGUAAUGUCACUGUUAAUUUGAGUACACAUUCCUUGAUUCCUGAAUAUUGCAUAUUUGUCCUCCUUUAUCUAAUGCACACCCUAUAUUCAGCAAAUAACUUGCACAGAGGAAAUCGGGCAGCCAGUAGGAAGACUAAUCUUACGAAGUUAGCUGAUGGGUGUUUUUCUGCGAAAGUUAUGCCCACAGCAAGAAAAAAAAAAGUCACAUCUUAGGUAUGUAAAUUGCAUCUCACAGC